rnacentral:tRNA from 1 species
GCCCAGAUGGCGGAAAUGGUAGACGCGCAUGGUUGAGGGCCAUGUUCCCGUUUUGGGAGUGCAAGUUCGAUUCUUGUUCUGGGCACCG